rnacentral:rRNA from 1 species
CCUACGGGAGGCAGCAGUGAGGAAUAUUGGUCAAUGGGCGGGAGCCUGAACCAGCCAAGUCGCGUGAGGGAAGACGGUCCUAUGGAUUGUAAACCUCUUUAGGCGGGGAGCAAUGCCGGGCACGCGUGCACGGAGGGAGAGUACCCGCAGAAUAAGCAUCGGCUAACUCCGUGCCAGCAGCCGCGGUAAUACGGAGGAUGCGAGCGUUAUCCGGAUUUAUUGGGUUUAAAGGGUGCGCAGGCGGAAGAUCAAGUCAGCGGUAAAAUUGAGAGGCUCAACCUCUUCGAGCCGUUGAAACUGGUUUUCUUGAGUGAGCGAGAAGUAUGCGGAAUGCGUGGUGUAGCGGUGAAAUGCAUAGAUAUCACGCAGAACUCCGAUUGCGAAGGCAGCAUACCGGCGCUCAACUGACGCUCAUGCACGAAAGUGUGGGUAUCGAACAGGAUUAGAUACCCUAGUAGUC